rnacentral:lncRNA from 1 species
AGUGAUAUUGUGUUUUCUGUCGCUGUUAAGCUCUCCAGUUCAACAAGAGUGUCUAUGCUGAAGCAGUGGAGGAGCCAGCUGAUGCUUGUUGGCUCAGGUGCAGUAGUUCCCAAAUUACAGUCUGCUUUCCGUGCCAGACUGCAAGGCACUGGUCAUAAGUAAUCCCCAGAACCUUUUUAAAAAUAUAGGAACCUGACAGUUAGCAGCUGUUUGGCCUGGGAAAUUUUUAGGACUGUUACUGUUGUAGUAAGUUAAAAUAUUUGAGAGGCACAGAUUUGGAAAUUUCCAGAGCUCUUGAGGGUGCCGAAAUUACAGCCAUUUUCAAACCAACUUUAAGGAACAGGACCUGCUGCAUGCUCAGGUCCGUGCCAGUACAAUUCAUAAAGGCAAAAAGAGACCAUUGAGGACCUCGUCUUCCACAAGUUAAACCAAUUUGGUGGGUGGUGGUUUUGGGUUUGUUGUGUGCGUUGUGGGUUUUUUUGGGUUUUUUAAAUGUGGUUGGACUCGAUGAUCUUGGAGGUCCCUUCCAACCACUAAGAUUCUGUGAUUCUGUAAUUGGCAGACAAACAAGAGAUGCAGACAUAAAGUUUCUGUACAGACUGAGCAGUUGCUGCUGGGUCAUGACUUGGACUUCUUGGUAAAAAACACCACUAACCCUGCACUCUGAGCACUGCUCCUGUGGUUUUAGAGUACUACAACUUGUCCAGACCUUGGCAGCUCUGAAAACACUUGCUGCCUCUGUAUAGGAAAUGCAGAUUGUAUUUAGAAUCAAUUUUGUUUGGGUUGGGAGGGACCUUUAAAGGUCAUCUCAUCCAAACCCCCCCUGCAUUGAGCAGGAACAUCUUUCUUUAACAGCUGUUGAACUGUGACAGUAAGUGAAGGAGCUGGGACCCCUCAGCUUCUGAGACAACGUGUGUAGAUACGACCUGAAGUGUCUGUGCAAGUUCUCACCCGGGGACUGAACAGAAGCCAAGCUGAUCCUGAGGAUGGCUAAACCCACUCAGCUACCUCAAGAAACCUGCAAGCUUGUAACAUCUUUGGAAACCGAGUUAUUUCUGGCAAUGUCGAAUAAAAAUCCACAGGUUGCCAAGCACAGUAGUAAAGGAUUUGGUGUUUGAAUGCCGGCGGUCGCAUCAGAAGGUGUGUGGGGCGAGGAGUGACAGACAGCAGAGCUUGUCUGGGAAUUUUUCAUCUUCAAGACAAAUCCUACUGCUGUCGAGAGGAAACUGAAACCUGACUUCAUCUUCCAGUAUAGCAGUCUCGGGCCGAGUUUCAGAUCCUUGAUGUAAAAUUACAGUAGUUGUCAAGCGCAACCGUGUUUUAUUGACACAGAAAUGUUAACAAUGAACCCUAUUUUUGCAUGUUGUAAUUAUAUCCAGAGGACGUUGAAGUGGGAGACUGAAGGAAUGCAAUUUAGUCUGCUAAACAUGAAGCUGAUUGAGACAUGAUUUGGCAAUAAUGUAGAAAUAACUGUGAGGGGGGGAAGAACUUUGAUUUAGGUUAGGAAGACACAGUACUUUUACAGGGGGGAAGAACUUUGAUUUAGGUUAGGAAGGCACAGUACUUUUACAUAAAAUAAGAAAAAAACAACUUAAAAAUAAGGAUUGGCUAUUAAUACUGAGGCCAAUUAACAACUGUAUGAAAGUCUUUGCUGGGUUUCUCCAUUACUUCAUGGCUUCAGAUCAGAUGUGUAUCUGAGAAUUGUGUUCUUAAAUAAUACGAAUAUUUGGGCUCUUUUAUGUCCUUGAGUUUGUAAAAGAGGUCAAAUGAAAGGAAUUAAUUUUCCCUGAUAUUUAACAUUUUUUCUGGCACAGAUCCACUGUCUUCACAAGCAGAAGAUGGGUCUUGAGGCCCCCCACUUGUUCCAAUGAAUCAGAGGGGUAAGCAAUAAGAGCCAGAAGCUUUGGUCAUCAGACUCUGGAGCUCAAGAAGAGCGGGGUCAAGGAUUCCCUUUUGUGCCUGCACACCCCACUCAGGCAGUUACACAAAUGCACAAAAUCUUCUUAGGACAUAUAGCCAUGAGGAGUACGUGCUUCAUGGGAACACCCACAUGGUUGUAGGAGUACGGGGGGAAGAAAAGAAGGGCAAGUACGAUGACAGCAAGGGAAGGUCAACAUC